CCUACGGGAGGCAGCAGUGGGGAAUCUUGCGCAAUGGGCGAAAGCCUGACGGAGCGACGCCGCGUGAGCGAGGAAGGCCUUCGGGUCGUAAAGCUCUAUUCUGGGGGAAGAAGAGAUGACGGUACCCCACGAAAGCCCCGGCUAACUACACGCCAGCAGCCGCGGGAAU
rnacentral:rRNA from 1 species